AGCGAACGCUGGCGGCAGGCUUAACACAUGCAAGUCGAGCGGGCCCUUCGGGGUCAGCGGCAGACGGGUGAGUAACACGUGGGAACGUACCCUUUGGUUCGGAAUAACGCUGGGAAACUAGCGCUAAUACCGGAUACGCCCUUUUGGGGAAAGGCUUGCUGCCGAAGGAUCGGCCCGCGUCUGAUUAGCUAGUUGGUGGGGUAAUGGCCUACCAAGGCGACGAUCAGUGGCUGGUCUGAGAGGAUGAUCAGCCACACUGGGACUGAGACACGGCCCAGACUCCUACGGGAGGCAGCAGUGGGGAAUAUUGGACAAUGGGCGCAAGCCUGAUCCAGCCAUGCCGCGUGAGUGAUGAAGGCCUUAGGGUUGUAAAGCUCUUUUGUCCGGGACGAUAAUGACGGUACCGGAAGAAUAAGCCCCGGCUAACUUCGUG
rnacentral:rRNA from 1 species